CCUACGGGUGGCAGCAGUAGGGAAUAUUGCACAAUGGGGGAAACCCUGAAGCAGCAACGCCGCGUGGAGGAUGAAGGUUUUCGGAUUGUAAACCCCUUUCGUUAGAGAAGAUAAUGACGGUAUCUAACGAAUAAGCACCGGCUAACUCCGUGCCAGCAGCCGCGGUAAUACGGAGGGUGCAAGCGUUACUCGGAAUUACUGGGUGUAAAGAGCGCGUAGGCGGGAUAGCAAGUCAGAUGUGAAAUCCUAUGGCUUAACCAUAGAACUGCAUUUGAAACUGUUAUUCUAGAGUGUGGGAGAGGUAGGUGGAAUUCUUGGUGUAGGGGUAAAAUCCGUAGAGAUCAAGAGGAAUACUCAUGGCGAAGGCGGCCUGCUGGAACAUAACUGACGCUGAGGCGCGAAAGCGUGGGGAGCAAACAGGAUUAGAUACCCGGGUAGUC
rnacentral:rRNA from 1 species